rnacentral:rRNA from 1 species
AUUGAACGCUGGCGGCAGGCCUAACACAUGCAAGUCGAGCGAGCGGCGGACGGGUGAGUAAUGUCUGGGGAACUGCCUGAGGGAGGGGGGUAACUACUGGAAACGGUAGCUAAUACCGCAUAGCAUCAGAUGUGCCCCGAUGGGAUUAGCUAGUAGGUGGGGUAACGGCUCACCUAGGCGACGAUCCCUAGCUGGUCUGAGAGGAGGACCAGCCACAAUGGACCUGAGGCACGGCGCAGAGUCCUACGGGGGGCAGCAGUGGGGAAUAUUGCGCAAUGGGCGGAAGCCUGAUGAAGCGACGCCGGGGGGGGGAUGAAGGCCUUGGGGUUGUGAACUCCUUGCGACAGGGACGCGUUACCUGUAUAAGAAGCACCGGCUAACUACGUGCCAGCAGCCGCGGUAAUUC